rnacentral:lncRNA from 1 species
CAUCUGCUGACCAGUAGCACCUGCUUCACUUAGUGUCAUUUCACUGUUCUGUCUCUGUGUUUGAGGUAUGUCAGUAAACUCCAACUCUCUGGCUGCAGGCCUGGCACUUGUGUCGGUGGUUUUGCUCAGCAUGCUGACAAUGAUGUGUCUACGGUGCAAAAAGAAACCCAAACCCAUACUUCAGGAGUCUCACAUAUACAAUCGACACACAUUAAAAAAGCGUUAUUUUUCAAUGCCUUCAGCUAAUUUUGACAUGUAGACCUUUAACUGUUCCGAAUUUAAGUCCUUCUUUUUGAUGCAACCUAGUUUAUUUAAUAUAUUGAUAUACAUUAAAUACAAAUAACAAACACAAAGGCUUUGUGUUGUUGAUCCGCCCUCUGGAAAUCACUCCCACAACCCAUCAAGAAUGCAGAUUCAUUACGGAACUUAAAAACCCACCUGUUAAAACUUACUUUUCCUUAACUUUUCUUUUACUUUUAUUGUCAUUUCUUUAUUUUUCUGUAUUCUGCAAAGUGGUUUUGAGCCCCUAAAAAAGCGUGAUAUAAAAUUGACUCAUUAUUAUUAUUAUUAUUAUUAUUAUUAUUAUUAUUAUUAUUAUUAUUAUUAUUAUUAUUAUUAUUAUUAUUAUUAUUAUUAUCAUUAUGACCUCAGUUUCGCCAACAGUCAACUGUUUCAAAUACGUACAUUUACUUACAGAUGUGCUGGUAUUUGUGUAGUAUGGUCCUAACACCAUAAAGCUUCUCAUUGUCGUUACAUGGUCCAACUUUCACCUCUUGAUACAUUAGCUAUUUACUAUUUUUUGCUGAUCAAGCGGUUUUUGCUGAUUAAAUCUCCU